rnacentral:rRNA from 1 species
GAUGAACGCUGGCGGCGUGCCUAAUACAUGCAAGUCGAGCGAACAGACGAGGAGCUUGCUCCUCUGACGUUAGCGGCGGACGGGUGAGUAACACGUGGAUAACCUACCUAUAAGACUGGGAUAACUUCGGGAAACCGGAGCUAAUACCGGAUAAUAUAUUGAACCGCAUGGUUCAAUAGUGAAAGACGGUUUUGCUGUCACUUAUAGAUGGAUCCGCGCCGCAUUAGCUAGUUGGUAAGGUAACAGCUUACCAAGGCAACGAUGCGUAGCCGACCUGAGAGGGUGAUCGGCCACACUGGAACUGAGACACGGUCCAGAAUCCUAAGGGAGGCAGCAGUAGGGAAUCUUCCGGAAUGGGCGAAAGCCUGACGGAGCAACGCCGCGUGAGUGAUGAAGGUCUUCGGAUCGUAAAACUCUUUUAUUAGGGAAGAACAAAUGUGUAAGUAACUAUGCACGUCUUGACGGUACCUAAUCAGAAAGCCACGGCUAACUACGUG